UGUCCAGUAACUCCUAUCCCUACCUCCACGUGGUACCGACCGGAAACUAUGAGCAACCUUAGGGAAGAUCGGGUAACCAACCCCGAUGGGAACUUUGGUCGUAGGCUGAUAGGGAAGG
rnacentral:ribozyme from 1 species